UUUUUUUUUUGUUUGUGUGUUUGUUUGUUUGGCUGCACCUGCAGCAUGUGGAAGUUCCCAUCCAGGCAUUGAACUUGUGCUACAGCAGAGACUCAAGCCACUGCCACAGUGCCAACUCUGGAUCCUUAACCUGCUUCAUCACAAGAAAGCUUCUGAACCAUUCUUCAUUUUGACUUUACAUCCCCCAGCGGCUCCUGGGGCUGAGAGUGGAUUUUGGCGGCCGGGGGAUGGGGGAAGAAGUGGGUGGGUGGAUCUAUGCAGGCAAUAACCCAGGGAACAAUGGGAAACAGAGAUGGGGAACAAGGAGCCCCCUCAGGUCAUAACAAAGGAAAGUGGCCAAAUGGUGGGGGAUGGGGGGGAUGGAGAUGCACAGCUCUGUUCCCCCCCCCCCCCGCCCCCAGGGCUUGAGGUCCCCACUGGGCUGGCUAAGACACAGAAGUUUUCUUGUUGGGCUGGAAGGAGAAACUAGCUGAGCGGGAAGAGGGGCCUGCUAGUCACCGGGGAUGAGAUGGGAGCCAGAUGCCACCCAGGGCUGCUCAGGGUAGUCACCAUUCCCAUCGGCUGCCCCCUGCCCCAGCUGGGUGCUGUGGCCCACCCACCUCCCAGGCCAACCCCUGCCGGGCGGCGGGUGGGCUCCUCCCCGUGGUCUUGACUGGGUAGGAAACACGCUCAGCCCAGACAUUGACCCCCCCCCCUCCCUGUCCUGCCAGCUUCUCUCCCAAGGCAGGUGGACAGGGCAGCUGGGCAAAGGGAGGCAGCCUUUCCCCUCCCACCCCCCGGGUCAGGCCCACACCCCUCCCCACGCCCUUCCCAGAAACAGAGGACAGUUGCUGUGCCUCAGGCUGGAAGGCCUCGUGUUCUCUUGGCGACUUCACUGUAAGUUGACUUCCCUGAAGAGUGGUGGAGGACAGGGGACAGGGCAGGAAGGGACCCAGCGGCUCCUUUCCUUCCCUCCAAUUCACAUAGAAUUCCUCAGCGCACACCCUCCCUCGGCUCUGUCUUCAGGGACAGGAAUGGGCAGCAAGUGCCCAGGGAGGCACCAGAGCGAGGAGAUUCCGGGAGAGGCAGCCAUGCUGCUCGCAGGGUGCAGUAUAUGCUGAGCAUGGCUUGGGGUCCCCCUUCUAGGAGCCUCAGGGGUGGGGGCUGGGGGGUCGGUACAUGCAGAGAAAGUGUGGGGGUGAAGCAGGAUGCUUAACUGCCCACGGGCUUCGGCUGUCCCCUCUCUGCCGGGGCAUGGAGAUGCUUCCUGGAACACCUCCAGCUUUCUUGGGAAGGCUCUUCACCCCCCACCUCCCUGCUGGCUCCCGCGCAACAGGAACUCUCCUUGAAGAAGGGACUUGGAGCAGAGGAGACAAAGCCAUCUCUGUACCAUCUCCCCCUGCCCCCAGGGACAGUUAGGUCAAGGUGACCUCAGUCUGUUCUCCCCAAGGUAGGGGCAUCAGCAGGACCUCCUUCAUGGCUAACCUGGUCUACAAGAGCCAGAAACAGGAAUUGGAAUGGGAUAAUUCUUCCGGUAUAACUUGAGUCCACCUCCAGGUGACACAUAAGUCACACUGGCUCCUUCAACAGAGCUGGGGCAAGGACCGGUGUGGUGAUGGAGGAGCCAUGCUUGGUGCCGUGAAACAACCAUGGGCUAGAGUGCAGACUGCGGUGUGUGCUCCAGGGAAGGAAAGUUGAGACAGGUGGACUGGAGACCUUGCCCACAGAGCCAGGCAACUUGGAUCCUGGUGCCAGCUGUACGCUUACUGGCCAAACUGCUGUGGACAGGACCCUUUUCUGGACUGAUGAAAGGGGAUGCACCUGGCUCUGACGGCCUUCGAGGUCCCUGCAAAGAUCAAUGGAGUUGAAGAGUUCAGUCAAGUUCGUAUACGAGUGUGCCAUGAUUCAGUUCAGGAUACGUGUACAGUAUAUGAACUACAGGCUAGGCUAGGGAUUAUCAUUAGUCCUAAUAAAAUGUAUCCAGUCUUCUUUUGGGGAAAGUAUUCCCAUGAUUUUUUUUUUUUUUUUAAUGGCCGCACCUGCCACACAUGGAGGUUCCCAGGCCAGGGAUCGAACCUGCACCUCGGCAGCGACCCAAGCUGCUGCAGUCAGGUUCUAAACCCACUGUGCC
rnacentral:lncRNA from 1 species